rnacentral:rRNA from 1 species
GAUGAACGCUGGCGGCGUGCCUAAUACAUGCAGGUCGAGCGAACGGACGAGAAGCUUGCUUCUCUGAUGUUAGCGGCGGACGGGUGAGUAACACGUGGAUAACCUACCUAUAAGACUGGGAUAACUUCGGGAAACCGGAGCUAAUACCGGAUAAUAUUUUGAACCGCAUGGUUCAAAAGUGAAAGACGGUCUUGCUGUCACUUAUAGAUGGAUCCGCGCUGCAUUAGCUAGUUGGUAAGGUAACGGCUUACCAAGGCAACGAUGCAUAGCCGACCUGAGAGGGUGAUCGGCCACACUGGAACUGAGACACGGUCCAGACUCCUACGGGAGGCAGCAGUAGGGAAUCUUCCGCAAUGGGCGAAAGCCUGACGGAUCAACGCCGCGUGAGUGAUGAAGGUCUUCGGGUCGUAAAACUCUGUUAUUAGGGAAGAACAUAUGUGUAAGUAACUGUGCACAUCUUGACGGUACCUAAUCAGAAAGCCACGGCUAACUACGUG